GAUGAACGCUGGCGGCGUGCUUAACACAUGCAAGUCGAACGGAAAGGCCCUGCUUUUGUGGGGUGCUCGAGUGGCGAACGGGUGAGUAACACGCGAGUAACCUGCCCUUGACUUUGGGAUAACUUCAGGAGACUGGGGCUAAUACCGGAUAGGAGAUCCUGCAGCAUGGGGGGGGUUGGAAAGUUUCGGCGGUUGGGGAUGGAAUCGCGGCGUAUUAGCUGGUUGGUGGGGUAGUGGCUUACAAAGGCUUUGAGGGGUAGACGACCUGAGCGGGUGAUCGGCGACAUUGGAGCGGGGCCACGGUCAAUAGGACUAAGGGACGGCGCAGUCUCGAACCUGAGGCAGCAGGCGAGAACAUGGCGGAGUAGGGCGGCGUGUGUUGCGACGGUGUUGCGUUCGGAAAGACGUGUUACGGGGUAAAAACAGAUGUCUCAGGAGAUGAAGCGGUAUUGACGGUACUGGGUAAAGAAGCACCGGCUAACUACGUG
rnacentral:rRNA from 1 species